UUAUCCUGGGUGAGACUGAUUCAAUCAGCUGAAAGACCUCAGGAGCGGAACUGAGGCUUCCCUGAGAAAACAUAAAUUCUGCCUAUGGACAGCAAUUUCAGUUCACCCCUAAAAUCCCACCCUCCUCUUUCUGAUGGCCUGUGCUGUGGACUUCCGAUGUGCCUUGCCAGCGCCCACAAUCAUGUGCAGCAAGUUGCCUUUUUAAAAUGUGCACUUUGGCCGGGUGUGGCAGCUCACUCUUGUAAUCCUAGCACUUCGGGAGGCCGAAGUGGGAGAACUGCUUGAGGCCAGGAGUUCGAGACCAGCCUGGGCAACAUCGUGAGACCACAUCUGUACAACAAAUAAAAUUUAAAAAAAUAUUAGCCAGGCAUGGUGGUGCAUGCCUAUAGUCCCAGCUACUUGGGAGGCUGAG
rnacentral:lncRNA from 1 species